GCCUACAGACACCUCGAGGACCGCCCCCUCUCCCCCAGUCCCACUCCAACCGCACCACUGUGGGCGUCGCCCCCGAGCUCGGACCACGACCUUUCCACCCUCCGUGCCCGCUGUCGCUCCUCGUUGCCGGCCGCCAUCGAUCUUAGCGGCGGUGUCGACGCUUGCAUGGACGAUGCCCUCAAUGUGUUCGGUGAAAUGGGCACACGGUAUGCAUUUUUCCCCUUUAAGUAUUUGGUUGCUGAUUCUGUAUAGCCCCCUGUCUUUAUCCGUUGUACAAAGAUUGACAUGAGCUCAGUGCAAGUGUUGGGAUGGUGACUAUCAUCCACGGGGGCUGGACAUCGAGGUUAUAUCGAGGCUGAUACACAGACCGUCUCUUCACGCAUCGCUUCUCAUAGCGUCUCAGUUCCUCGAUCCAGAAAUGGUGUGCUCAUCAUGUUGUCCGUGGCCUCUAUUUUCUCAGGCGCAAAUGCACCUCUCCUCGGCUAUGUUCCAACUUUGUUUAGCUGGGGAGAGAAAGAUAAGCCCGAUUACAUAUCCAUUUUAGUGUUCUAAUGACGUCACCAAUAGUUCCCAUUUAAGAGUAAUCAAUAAGCUCACAACAUAAAUAAAUUACAGCAGAGUACAUUGCUUAUUGGAGCAUGGGUGAAACCUGUUUAUUAAGUUUUAUGCUGCUCAUAAGUUUCCGUUUAGGCAAGGAAAAACUAAUAUGUAUCCUUACAAGCUGGAUUCAUUUUUUAAGUUAUUUAUAUUUUAGAAUUUCGGUUGUUCUGAGGAUUUUAACUAUUUGGUGAAGUAUGAAUGACUUGUCCAGCCACAUGGGCUUUACUAUAGGUUAGGUUCAAAUACUUGCAUGCUGAAAUAUGUAUAUCUUCAAGCAUGGUCUCAUAUCUAUAUAUUUUCCGCCGCCGUCUUAAAUCUCAGCUACCUCUAGCUAUGCCGUUGAUACAAAAAAUACACUGAUUU
rnacentral:lncRNA from 1 species